rnacentral:rRNA from 1 species
CCUACGGGUGGCAGCAGUGGGGAAUUUUGGACAAUGGGCGCAAGACUGAUCCAGCUAUUCCGCGUGUGGGAUGAAGGUCUUGGGGUUGGAAAACACUUUAGUAGAGAAAGAAAAGGAGCUAUCGAAUCAAUAGCUGUGCUGACGGUACUCUAAGGAUAAGGACCGGCUAACUACGUGCCAGGAGCCGCGGGAAUAGGUAGGGGGCGAGCGUUAAUCGGAAUUACUGGGCGUAAAGGGUGUGCAGGCGGCUGAGUAAGACAGAUGUGAAGUCCCCGGGCUGAAGCUGGGAACCGACUAUGUGACUGGUUGGCUAGAGUGCGUCAGAGGGAGGCGGAAUUCGACGUGUAGCAGUGAAAUGCGUAGAUAUGGGGAAGAACACCGAUGGCGAAGGCAGCCUCCUGGGUCGCAACUGACGCUCAUACACGAAAGCAUGGGGAGCGAACAGGAUUAGAUACCCUGGUAGUC